CCCUACCAUCUCCUUCAAAAUCUCUUUUGCCUCUGUCAUUUUCCCAGCAUUACAAAGCCCCGGCAACAAACUCGAAUAUGUGUGAGCAUUAGGCUUAAUACCAAAAGACUUCAUCUCCUCAAGCAAUCUCAGCCCAUCAUCCACUCUAUCUACAGAAACAUACCCUUUAAUCAUAGUCGUAUAACUAAUAACUGUAGGAGCUAUGUUUUUCCCCUUCAUCUCUACAAACAACUUCUCUGCCUCCUCCAUCUUUCUAAAUCUAUAAUACCCAUUGAUCAUCGUAUUAUAAGUAACCACAUCAGGGGAUAUCCCUCUAGUCUUCAUAUCCUCAUAAAACCUCAUUGCUGUUUCCAACCUCAAUGACAAGAAGAAACCCCAAAGCAUAAUAUUGUAAGUAUGCCUAGUUGGCUCAAUCCCUUCACUCAG
rnacentral:misc_RNA from 1 species